rnacentral:misc_RNA from 1 species
UUCUUUUUUCCAUUCAUCAUUAUUGUUUUUAUUCUGACCUCUUAGAUUGAGGUAUUUGACAUGGAAUCUCCAUAUUUACUAAAAANAAAANNNNGGNAAUAAUAAAUCUAUAAAUGUUAUACAGAAUGAUCUGGAAAGAUCUACUUUUAUGUCCGCAACCGAAGCUCAAAAUUAUCUGUCGAUCGCAUAGCAAAUAAAAAAAAAANUCCUUAGUAAUAUGAGUUCUUUUUCUCAAUUAUUUUGAGUAUUGAAUUUAGAUAAAAAAAANNCAUUGAGUUAAGAUCAAUCUAAACCAAACCAUUUAUUUUUAACUUUAUAUAUUAUGACAUCGCUAUGUAAAAAAUCGAGGUCUUAUCAAUCCAUAAUUUAUAAAACAGGUUACGAUUUGGUAGAUUUUACACCUACCCAUUUUUUGGAAAUGAAAGAUAUAAACAAUAGAAAUAUUAAAUCAAUAGAAAUAUUAAAUCUUUACUUUAUCUUUAUCCAAAAAAAUUUUUGGUGNAAAAAAUUAUUUAUAAUCCNUAUUUUGAAAAAUAAAAAAAAANNCUGAAAAAANUGGAGAAUUUAUACUACUUAGUUUAGAAAAAAAAANUCGUCUUUUUUCUAUAUUAAUUUUUAAAAAUUAACGAGAAUCAAGUGUAUUAAUCCUCUAGGUAUACUUACGCAAUAUACCUUUAUUUAUAUUAUAUUUUNAUAAACCUCCGGGUAUACUUACCCNAAUAGAGAUAUUUUAGAGACUACUAUAAAAUAGUAGUAUAUUUUUUUCCUUACCCAAUAUAUUAGUCUAAAAAACUAAUAUAUUGGGUAUAUUGGGUAUUUCUCAAAUUAAUAUUCAAAUUUUUAAUAUAAUGAACAAUUCAAAAGAUCUAG